UGGCACCAAAGCGUGGUCCAAGGU
rnacentral:piRNA from 1 species